GGCUGGUCUGAAGGCAGUGAGCUAUCUCACUUUGAUCGUUCACAGUCAGUUACAGAUAGAACACCUUGUUCUACUCUUCCCCUCCUUCUCACUACUAUGCUUGACUAAUCUUUA
rnacentral:Y_RNA from 1 species